GACGCACUUGCACUUUGUCAGACGUUUGAGGGACGCACUUCAGUUUUGACUCGUCUCAAGAAGAGGGUGACACUCUAUUUUGAGUGGAUGAAGCAAACAGAUCCUCAGUAACAUCAACAACGUAUCAAUGAUGAAGCCGCAGUGAGUCCAUUCAGUGGAUUAUCAAGAGACUUUAAAUUAACGGUGUAAAUAAGCACCUGAGGAAGAAGAGAGGAGAACGCAGCUGUCAGAAGGGAUGAACUCAGGCUUCCUGCGCCAGGCUGUCAGAAACGACACUCCGGCUUUUACAAACAGACAACAGCUCUCUGACUUUCCCCGCACCUUUCUGCGGAGGGCGAUGUGUAAAGUAGUGAGUGUUUGCCUGCGGCGGAUCCCCCUGGCAAAAAACCGUGUGGUGCCAUCUUCCUCUGCCAGUCCAUUAGGGAUGCAAGCUCGCCGUGGAUAAAAUCCAGUCACUUUUCUGCAAUCUCUCUCCCCCGUCCUGGCUGACACCGGUGAUAAGCUAGUGGAGCUGGUGCCUGCCGCAGCUCCCCAGCCGUGAGGACUAGUCUGAAGUAAAGCUCUGAGGAAAAAGUGGAUUCUAAACUUUCCAUCCAUCCCACAUUGGUGUUUACUGGCACCGCCAUGAAAGGAGGAGCCGUCGCGGGUUCUUGACGGCUGCCCGCUAAUUGCUGACCCUAACAGGCCCAAUUAGAGGCAACACGCUCCCUGCAUGGGCCCAGGGGACUACACGUCCCAGCAUGCCGAGCACAGACGCACUCACAACAACACGGCCGAGCGACAAGGACCAGACAUUUCUUGCUUUCUUCUUCUACCCUACCACCCCCCUCUUCUCUUCUCCUCCACUGUGUGGACACUUAAAGAAAACAACAUCGUGAGGUUUGAUGGCGUGAGGGAGCCACGCUCAGAGCUCUUGUUCUAUCAACGUCUUUGUAAAGUCCGAGUUGCAUUUGAAAGCCUUUAGGUUUGAAAGAAAUGAUGCAACUAAAGGGUGUUAAGAGCUUGUUUUUUGAGCGCUGCCAAUCAGAUCUUUUUUAUGUUGUAAUAGUUCAUGCGCCAUUAGAAAUGAAGGUUCUGUGCAGGUACGUUCUUUGUUCAUCAAGGUACAAACAA